rnacentral:rRNA from 1 species
CUACGGGGCGCAGCAGUGGGGAAUAUUGGACAAUGGGGGAAACCCUGAUCCAGCAAUGCCGCGUGUGUGAAGAAGGCCUGCGGGUUGUAAAGCACUUUCGGUUGGGAGGACUGCUUCUAGCACUAAUAUUGUUGGAAGUUGACGUUACCUUCAGAAGAAGCACCGGCUAACUCCGUGCCAGCAGCCGCGGUAAUACGGAGGGUACAAGCGUUAAUCGGAAUUACUGGGCGUAAAGCGCGCGUAGGCGGCUAGAUCAGUCGGGUGUGAAAGCCCCGGGCUUAACCUGGGAACUGCAUCCGAUACUGUCUAGCUUGAGUACGGGAGAGGAGAGUGGAAUUCCACAUGUAGCGGUGAAAUGCGUAGAUAUGUGGAGGAACACCAAUGGCGAAGGCAGCUCUCUGGCCUGAUACUGACGCUGAGGUGCGAAAGCGUGGGGAGCAAACAGGAUUAGAUACCCCCGUAGUC